UCUAGCACGCCCGGAGGCCAUCUCUGCGUGUCGUUGGUCCUUCCAGGGCUCUGAGUUCACCUGUGUAACUCUCUGUCCCACCCUCCUGCGGAGCUGCGACCCUAUUUGGGAAUGGUACUAAAGGUAUUUGGCGACCGCUCCGUGCAGGGAGACCACCGGAUGAUACACUCUGCCAGCACCAAAUACCUCAUGGGGGAUGGCUUGAGGACAGGAUCUCAACAAAACCAUGCUGGACAGCCUGUCCUUGGUUAUACUAGGGCCCACGGGCCAGAGUCUGGAUGCUGGUUGCUUCCACUUCUGCUACCAUGUGUUGUUCAAGGCAGGCUACCUGAGCUUAUUUGGCUGUGCAAAGAACCAGGAGCAGGACCUACUACAGGCAGAGGAGUUAUUUGUCCAGUUCCGCAAGUUUGAUCUCUUGUUCCCCAGGUUUGUUUAUUCCUUGCUGGGGCCCUGGGAGUGGCUAGAAGUGGCCCGGCUCCAGCGGCUCUUCCACAGGAUGCUCUCCGUGAACCACCACCUGGAGAAGAAUGGCAUAAGCAACUGGAUCUCCUACAUGCUUCAGUGUCUGAGGGAGCAGCAGGGGCCAUAUCUGUCUCAUUCAAAGUUGGUUAUAGCAGAAUUUCUGGCAGUAGGUGCCAAGUAAAUAUCUGUUGAAUGGAUAUAUGGGACUGUUCCAAGGAGGGAGGGAAUGAAAUGAAUCAAGGUAAGAAUGAAUGUAACAUGGUGCUGCCAUCCAUUAAAAACUGGGGAACAAUGUUUAGCUUAUGCAUGUUGGCCCACAGACAAUUUCUGACUGCAGAUUCAGGCUGGGGAGAGUGGAUGAUUCGGAGUACUUGCUGUGGUUUCCCUAAGCAAUCAGAGAGGACUUCAUGGAGGCAGAGUGUGGACAUUUCCAGCUCCCUGCAGAGGGGAAUGGCACAAGGCAAAGGGAACUCAAGAGCUCAUGUGGAAAUCAGAGGAGACAAAGUCCCUGUUUGCCAGUCAAUUAGGAAGUUAAAGAGUAACCUGAGGUCGCUAGAACUGGUUGAAUUGAGUCUGAACCUCACCUUAUUGCAACAAUGGCCUUAGAGUCAAUGGCAGAACUUUCUCCUUCCUGGGCCUGCUGGCAGGGACCUAGCCUGACACCUCACAGAAGGCCCCCAGUAAAUGGUCAGCUCACCUCACGCAAGCCAGGACAGCAGUGAGAGAAAGUUCCCACUAUACUCUGAGACUACACCCUUAUCAUGAAAUAAAGUGAUUGGUUUGAA